AUCGAAGGUCAUGGAGAUCAUUAAGUAAAAAGUGUCAUGCAGUGGUGUAGAGGUUGGGUGAGAACGGGACAUUUUGUAUCAUUUUAUCAAGAAGGUAAAAUAACCGCAAGGCAUAAGAGGAGGGGUGAGAAAAAGUCGUAUAAAAGGCGAGAGAAAAGUCGACAGGGAUCAGUCGAGCGAGUAUCUCCGACACGGUAACAGCUGCAUUCCACUAUCUGCCAUCAGCUGCAUUCUUCAUCGUACUAUCAGUUCUCAAUCAUGGUAAACUAUGCUGUCGUGCUGUUGUUGGGUGUUGUGUCGUUGAUGGCUGGUUCAGCCACUGGCGUACCGAUGUAUCCUGGGUAUGGCGGAUACCAAAGCACUACACUGCCGCCUUAGUACACAACUUACGACACAACCAGUUGCUACACCGAUCCCCCCAAGUACUUCACCACCAUGCUGCCCCGAGCUACUACACCGAAUCCCCGCAGUAUUAUUCUUCUCCGAGCUACACUACUAAAGGGUAGAGUACUACACCGAGGCUCCCCAACACUACAUCACCAAGGCACCGGAGUACUACACCACUACAUAUCAUGGUAAUGAAGGAGAGAAAAGGUGAAAGAUUUCAGCAGCCGAUUGAGCAUCUCCGUUACGGCAACAGGAACUGCCGUGCACUAUUUGUCAUCAACUUCAUUCUUCGUCGCAUUAAAAGUUUUAAAUAAAGUAAACUAUGGUGUCGUGCUGCUGUUGGGUGUUGUAUCGUUGAUGGGUGGUUCAGCCAUGGUGUACCGAUGUCUCCUGGGUAUGGCGGGUACUAUAGCACAACACUGCCGUGCCGUCUAACUAAUUAGCAUCAACUUCCGCUGCUCCAGCUUACUACACUGAGGUUUACAAGUGCUACACCACCAUGGAUCCAGAGUUUUACACCACAGCUCAUGUUGCCCCGACCUACUACGCUGAAUGCCCGAAGUAUUUUUCUUCCCCGAGCUACACUACCAAAGGGUCGAGAACUACGUCGAGGUUCCAAGUAUUACAUCACCAAGGCACCGGAGCACAAAAACGGUUGAAUACUACACAGAAGCUAUCAUGGGAAACUAUGGUGUCGUGCUGCUGUGAGUGUUGUAAUCAUGAUGGCUGGAUUGACCACUGGUGUGCCGAUAUCUCCUGGGUAUGGUGGGCAUCAACAACAACAUACGCAACAACCGCUUACUACACUGGGACCUGCAAGUGCCAAACCACCAAGGCUUCAGAGUAUUACACCACAGUUUAUGUUGGCACGAGCUACUACGCAGAAGCUCCGGAAUAAUUUUCUUCCCCGCUUCACUACCUUCACCACGCCGCCUCCUUACUCAACAACAACAACAACGUCAACACCUACUUACUAAACGAACGCCUCCAACUACCACACCGAGGGUCAACCUGUUACACCGCCGAAGCGCUCAAGUACUGCACUACAACCUACAUUUCACGAAGACACCGUAGUACUCCAUCACGAAGGCACCGGCACGUUAAACCGAGGCUCCAGUUUACUACACUGUAACCUACGCUGCUCCAAAGUACUACACCGACAAGGCAUCCGAGUAUGACACCACUACUUACGCUACUACCACCUACUACACCCAAGCUCCGAAAGCACUACUCUGCCCCGAGUUACUACACCACUAAGGCAGCCGAAUAUUACACCACAAACUACGAUUCCGCAAUUCGGUCACUUUCAUGGUCAUUGGUCACUGGAAAUUAAUUGUUGAUCUUUGAUGAGAAAAUAAAGUUUUAAUGCUGGUA